rnacentral:rRNA from 1 species
GACGAACGCUGGCGGCGUGCCCAACACAUGCAAGUCGAGCGGGAUCCAUCUGGUGGCAACACCGGGGAAGAUCUAGCGGCGAACGGGUGAGUAACACGUGAGAAACCUGCCCCGAACUUCGGGAUAACACGGGGAAACCCGUGCUAAUACCGAAUACCCUCUACCGGUCGCAUGGCCGGAAGCGGAAAGAUUCAUCGGUUCGGGAGGGUCUCGCGGCCUAUCAGCUAGUUGGCGGGGUAACGGCCCACCAAGGCAUCGACGGGUAGCUGGUCUGAGAGGACGAUCAGCCACACUGGGACGGAGACACGGCCCAGACUCCUACGGGAGGCAGCAGUGGGGAAUCUUGCGCAAUAGGCGAAAGCCUGACGCAGCAACGCCGCGUGCGGGAUGAAGGCCUUCGGGUUGUAAACCGCUUUCAGCAGGGAAGAAAAUGACGGUACCUGCAGAAGAAGCCCCGGCCAACUACGUGCCAGCCGCCGCCGUAAUAC